UACGAAGGGGGCUAGCGUUGCUCGGAAUCACUGGGCGUAAAGCGCACGUAGGCGGCUUACUAAGUCAGGGGUGAAAUCCUGGAGCUCAACUCCAGAACUGCCUUUGAUACUGGUGAGCUUGAGUCCGGAAGAGGUGAGUGGAACUGCGAGUGUAGAGGUGAAAUUCGUAGAUAUUCGCAAGAACACCAGUGGCGAAGGCGGCUCACUGGUCCGGUACUGACGCUGAGGUGCGAAAGCGUGGGGAGCAAACAGG
rnacentral:rRNA from 1 species